rnacentral:rRNA from 1 species
UCUCAAAGAUUAAGCCAUGCAUGUGUCAGUGCAAGCCUUCUUUAACGGUGAAACCGCGAAUGGCUCAUUAAAUCAGUCAUAAUCCGUUGGACUUUAUGGAACCGUGUCCUUACUCGGAUAACUGUGGUAAUUCUAGAGCUAAUACAUGCCACGAGUUCCCAAAGUGCGUUCCCUGCCAUGAGUAGGACGCAAUUAUUAGAACCAAAAAUUGUACCGAAUCCUUACUUGGUGUAAAACUUGGUGAAUCUGGAUAAUCACUGCAGAGCGCUUAAUUUGUGCCGGCGCCUGACCUUUGAAGAGUCUGCCCUAUCAGCUUGAUUGUAGAUUAAAUGUCUACAAUGGCUAUAACGGGUAACGGGGAAUCAGGGUUCGAUUCCGGAGAGGGAGCCUGAGAAACGGCUACCACAUCUAAGGAAGGCAGCAGGCACGCAAAUUGCUCAAUCUUAGCUCGAGGAAGCAGUGACAAAAUAUCUUGAUGCGGGACUCUUCCGAGGCCUCGCAAUCAGGAUGCGUUUACUUUAAAGCAGUAAACUGAACGCAAUUGGAGGGCAAGUCUGGUGCCAGCAGCCGCGGUAAUUCCAGCUCCAAUAGCGUAUAUUUAAGUUGCUGCGGUUAAAAGCUCGUAGUUGGACUUUAUACUCAGGCAGCCAGUCCUCGUUCAUGAGGUUCUUACUGCGUCUGUGACUGAGUGUAUAUGAGACCGUCGAUACUUUUUAAUCUAUAAUUGUUGGUGCAAUUAAGUUAGAUAUAUUCGUUAUAAAAGUUUCGACUCUAUCACUUUGAAAAAAUUAGAGUGCUCAAAGCACUCAUUGCAUAAUUGCCUGAAUGGUAGUGCAUGGAAUGAUGGAAGAUGAUCUCUACCUCGUUAAGUUUAGAAGCAUAACUUUUUUUAUCUUUGCACCAGGUAAAGAUUCGAGGUUUGAGAUAAUGAUUAAAGGGAACUGCCGGGGGCGUUUGUAUUACGGCGCUAGAGGUGAAAUUCUUGGACCGUCGUAAGACAAACUACUGCGAAAGCAUUCGCCAAGAAUGUUUUCAUUAAUCAAGAACGAAAGUUAGAGUUUAGAAGGAGAUCAGAUACCUCCCUAUUUCUAACCGUAAACUAUGCUAACCGGUUGUCCGUCGGAAGUCAUUUCCGAUGGACGAGCGACCCCAGGGAAACCAGAGUGUCUCAGUUCCGGGGGAAGUAUGGUUGCAAAAUCGAAACUUAAAGGAAUUGACGGAAGGGCACCACCAGGAGUGGAGCCUGCGGCUUAAUUUGACUCAACACGGGAAAACUCACCAGGCCCAGAAACAUUUAGGAUUGACAGAUUGAAAGCUCUUUCAUGAUUAUGAGGAUGGUGGUGCAUGGCCG